GUCGUGAGAUGUUGGGUUAAGUCCCGCAACGAGCGCAACCCUUGUCAUUAGUUGCUACAUUUAGUUGGGCACUCUAAUGAGACUGCCGGUGACAAACCGGAGGAAGGUGGGGAUGACGUCAAGUCCUCAUGGCCCUUAUGGGUAGGGCUUCACACGUAAUACAAUGGCGCGUACAGAGGGUUGCCAAGGAGCGAUCUGGAGCCAAUCCCUUAAAGCGCGUCGUAGUCCGGAUUGCAGUCUGCAACUCGACUGCAUGAAGUCGGAAUCGCUAGUAAUCGCGGAUCAGCAUGUCGCGGUGAAUACGUUCCCGGGUCUUGUACACACCGCCCGUCACACCAUGGGAGUGGGUUUCACCAGAAGCCGGUCGCCUAACCGCAAGGGGGGCGCUGACCACGGUGAGAUUCAUGACUGGGGUGAAGUCGUAACAAGGUAGCCGUAUCGGAAGGUGCGGCUGGAUCACCUCCUUUCUAAGUCACGCGCUCUUCACCAGUACUCACCGUCUAUCGGUUGUUCUUUGUUGACCCACAGGGUCUGUAGCUCAGUUGGUUAGAGCACCGUCUUGAUAAGGCGGGGGUCGAUGGUUCGAAUCCAUCCAGACCCACCAACCAAUUGCCGCUCACAAAGGUCACCAGGGCACGCGGGGCCAUAGCUCAGCUGGGAGAGCGCCUGCUUUGCAAGCAGGAGGUCAUCGGUUCGAUCCCGAUUGGCUCCACCAGCAUGUCACCAGAGGAAUCAGCAUUCAGUCGCGCCUGCCAGGCGCCGCUGAAUGGUGCUUCUUCAUUGAAGUACCAAUCGGCUGCUCUUUAACAAUCUGGGAAAUGAAGGUAGUUGUUCUCGCGAAAGCGUUGCUUUCACGCGUUGCGGUUUGAUGCGUGGGGUGGUGCGAGUAGUGGGGACACUGGGUUAUGUAUUGCAUCGUGUCGUCACCGAGUUAAAUCGGUGGGGACGCACAAGCGUGAGAGUUGCCUAGUGACCGAGUGAAGGUGUGGGCGACUUUGGCCCGCAUCGCCCUGUGGGUGGGGGCAGCAAGGUUAUAGGGUCAAGCGAAUAAGUGCAUGUGGUGGAUGCCUUGGCAAUGAUAGGCGAUGAAGGACGUGACAGCCUGCGAUAAGCUGCGGGGAGCCGGCAAAUGGGCGCUGAUCCGCAGAUUU
rnacentral:sRNA from 1 species